rnacentral:rRNA from 2 species
UUCAUGGAGAGUUUGAUCCUGGCUCAGGACGAACGCUGGCGGCGUGCCUAAUACAUGCAAGUCGAGCGGACCGACG